rnacentral:lncRNA from 1 species
UAUAGGUGCUCAUUGGAGAUAAGUUCACUGCACUGAUCCAAAGAGAGAACAUCUAAUAGAGCCUAAUUAGCAUGUCAAAAGAUGGUUCUCCAGUGAGAGUGGUGCAAGUGAUCCUUAGAUGUGAGAUCAGCAUGGUACCUUAUGUAUGUGGAUCCAUAUUUUGGUUCAUUCCCUAGCAUAACUUUUUGAGAUAUGUGUGGGAUGUUCUGGAUAUAGUGAAGUGUACAUGGUAGUUGUAAGUGGUCAACUAAAAAUUAAUCACUCUUUGUAAGAGAAGAGAAUAUCUUAUAUGGUCUCAUAGGAUGAUGACUCAGAGAGUCUCUGGC